AUGAACUUGCCAUGCUCACAUAUACUAAAAUUGGAAUGAUACAGAGAAGACUGCAUGGCACCUGCGCACGGAUGACACAAGAAUAUGAACUUGCCAUAGUAGUU
rnacentral:snRNA from 1 species